UCAACAGUUUUUUGAAAAAUCCUUCUUCUUACAGCUUUUGAAAGCUCAUGAAAAUGCUUUAGAAAAACAGUACAGUGAAAUUACAAACCAUAGGAAUAUGCUUCUUCAAACCUUUGAGGCUAUAAAGAAACAAAUGAUAGAGGAGGAAGACAAAUUUAUUAAGGAAAUUACAGACUUUAAUAAUGAUUAUGAAAUAACAAAGAAAAGAGAGCUUUUGAUGAAAGAAAAUGUCAAGAUUGAAAUAUCUGACUUAGAAAACCAAGCAAACAUGUUGAAAAGUGGUAUGAAUAAAUAUCACCUCAUUUGUCUUGCA
rnacentral:lncRNA from 1 species